rnacentral:lncRNA from 1 species
GGCCCGGAGUAGCGGGAAGCGACUGAGGAGCGGGGACUGGGCAGCAAUUGAAUGGAUGCGGGUGCCCCUGGCACCCGGGAAGACGCCCAGGGGCCGUCGCUGGGGAGUUGGACAUGGGCUGGGAUGUGUUUGGAUUCCAAUCUGGGCCUGACACCAGUUCUGUGACCUCGGGAAGUUCCCCAACCCUCCGGGCCUGUUUCCUCCCUCUGAAGUGGCGACAGUAAUAGAACCGACCUCGUAGGCUCAUCGGGAGGUCCUGAUGGGAGAACCCAUGCAACUUGCCACCACAGAGCCAGGCCCGCGGCGGUUGGCGCCUGGUGGGUAUUAAAGACGAGUCGGGAAAGAAGAGCAGGCUCAAUCAAACCUUCAAUGACUGUGGCCCCGAAAUACAUCUUGAUUGAAACCUCAUGAGAGACUCUGAGCCAGAAAACCCAGCAACUUAGAACCCAGAUAUCUGACCAUCAGCCACUGUGUGAAAUAAUAAAUGUUUGUUGUU